UAUGCUCGAAGACGUCCGAAAGUCGGAAUGGUAUUGCAAAGUGAAUAAGGGAUGAAUCGAGUAAGCGAAGCGAUGUGGCGAAUAGAGUAUAGCUAGAGAUGGUCUAGAGAUUACGAGAUGCAUAGAUUGUGAAAGUUGAAAGAUGAGAUAGAGAUGUGAGACUGGAGUCAGAUUUAAGGCAAGUAUCCGGAACCCUUCUCUUGGAUAUAUUGCAAAUAUUCUGAUCCAUUCCUUUGGUAUAUGUUUCAAAUAUUCAUACAUUUCUGUGCUAUAUUUAAAGGAGCGAGUAUUCUGAUCCAUUCUUUCCAAUCCUCAAGUUUCUAAAGAAUUUCAGCUUUAUAAAUCAAUUUGAAGUUCAGAUUGUCAUUGAAGCAUGUGUUGCUCAGUGAUAGUUAGAGCUUUGAAUGAAUUGGGAUCUUCUUGAUUAUUCAACCCGCCAUUGUCAUGCUGGUUUAGCAGGCUAAAUUCAGUUGCUUAGCCGAUAAUGGAGGAUACUGAAUAGUUGAGGAUUUCCUGAACUGUGAUUUAUGAAAUGAUGGAUCAUGAUUUAUGAAUAGAUUAUUAUCAAAGUUUGAUUUGAAAUUAUUCUGUUGUUGAUGAUAUUUAUGGUGAUGUUCUGUUGAUUUACACUGACCUGUUAAACUGAAUUAUAGAAUUGGAUUAUUGUUUUUAUAAAAUUAUGUGGACCAAAUGAGUGGUCAGACCAGAUGAGUGGUCAUGUCAGGCCAAUGAGUGCCUUGGAUCCAGUGACAGAGCAUGGCGGGGCCUGCUCGGGGUUAGGUAUGACUGAUCAGCAUCCUAACCUUUGUUUUAAUUAAAAUGUGAUAGUCCAAUUCGAUAAUUCUCUUGGAAAGAUUGAAUUACUCCAAUAUUCCAUUGAUGCAAGGUAUUGUGAAUCAUUCUAUACAAUACCUUAAUCUUAUGAAUUUAUGUUGAAGCUUUUACUAAAGUAUCUUGAGCCUUUGAACUUCUAUCAUAUUGAUUCAGAAUUGUUAUUGUUUAUUAUUACUUGCUGAGCAUUGUUGCUCACUCUUGCUAUUCUCUUUUAACCAUUUCAGAAAGGAUUAAAGAUGAAUGGCUAGACUAUGAUUGCGAGUAAGGCUAAGGCUAGGCGAGGAGUCAGAGGUGUUAAGGAUCCAGU
rnacentral:lncRNA from 1 species